ACAGGGAAUGGAGCGGCUUUGUCUAGCUUCGUGGGGAGGUAGUGCAUGCAGCAUUUAGAAGACCAUCACAAAGAGCAUAAAGUGAAGAAAAUGACAGUUCCGUGACUGCAAAGGACAAGAACACCAUUAUUUCUGGAGCCCUGAAGACCGCCACCCCUACAGUAACUCCACACCUUCAGUGGAAAAGAGAACUGGACUUCUGAUUUUUUGCAUGGCUCAUUGGUGUAGACCUGAAGAUGAGGAUGGUGAAGAAAAAGUAAAAUAAAAAGCAUUCCUGAAAUCUUACCUGUAAGCAUGAAAUGAAACUCUUCAUAAAAGGAGCACUGCCUUCUAGUAUGGAUUGUUUAGCUGUGUUACGACUAACACCUAUUUCUGAGUGGU
rnacentral:lncRNA from 1 species